GGUAGGGUCCAGCGGCCGGAAGAGCACCGCACGUCGCGUGGUGUCCGGUGCGCCUCCGGCGGCCCUUGAAAAUCUGGAGGACCGAGUGCCGUCCGCGCCCGGUCGUACUCAUAACCGCAUAAGGUCUCCAAGGUAAACAGCCUCUGGUCAAUGGAACAAUGUAGGCAAGGGAAGUUGGCAAAAUGGAUCUAUAACCUCGGGAAAAGGAUUGGCUCUGAGGGCUGGGCACGGGGGUCCCAGUCCCGAACCCGUCGACUGCCGGUGC
rnacentral:ncRNA from 1 species